UGUUUUGUCAAUGUGGAACCAUUGUCUCGUUGUCCCUCCUACUGCAAUAAUUACUGUGACACCUGUCUUUUUAUAUGCGUUGGACACGCCUUCCAACUUCCCUUUUGUCCACGAUAACUGGAGAGGUAGGCGUGCAUGCGACGACAGAAAUAUUGUCAUGUUAAGAAUUUAAGUUCACUAUCUUUUUCUGUAUUAUAUUUGUGUAGGGACUUGACGAUGGAAACAAAGUUAUUGACGACAAUUGUAUGUUCUGUAUUGUCAGGUAUGUUUAUUUCACUGUUGUACUGCCCUUUUGUCCACGAUAACGGGAGAGGGACUUGACGAUGGAAACAAAGUGAUUGACGACAAUUGUAUGUUCUGUAUUGUCAGUAAAGUGCAGCUGAGCAAUCCAUGGUGUCGGUCGUGUUCCAUUAAAGCCACACAACGCAGAGGAAAAGACCACCGGUUACACUUGGUGGUCGACCAGCGCUCGUCUGGUGCCCGGGAAAAGCUGCUGGAGUUCCCGCCCGCUGCACUCGGCUGCUCCUCCCUCCCUCUCCCUUCCUGUCGCCGAGGACAACGGCGCGCGCUCCCGCGUGCGCGCGAGGUGUGCUGACAAAUCACGCUGUUUUAAAGUGUGUGCGCGUGAUUUAAGCUUGUUUUUGUUUGUGCUGGUGACUUUAUAAUAUCCAGCUGGUACAUUUUAUGAACAUUUUUGUGACAGUUAGUCCUGUCAUAGCAGAAAGAAAAGUGGUGAAUGGGCAAGCCUGUUUGUAUUAGUGUUUAUUGAAGCCUUUUGAUGGUGUUUUAUUUUCUGUUCAUCUAUUAAUCGGUGUGGGCUUAUGAGAGGCUAUACGCCCUAAUAGCACAGGGGGGGAAUUUUUUUCUUCUUCUCAUGCUACAGUGCUGUGCUAUGUAUUGAUUUGUCAGGGGCUAUUUACGGUGGGCUUUACAAUGAGUUUUUUUUUAUGUGUCAACUUGUGUCGCUAUUGCCCUUGUUUUGCUAUACUGCCUUCGUGGGGAUUUCUCUUUGUUGUUAUAGUGAAACAUUUGCAUAGUAUUCGAGAUUCCUACAAUGGCUGGUCGUGGGCAUAGUGUAGGGGUGGGCAAUUAAUUUUUUACCGGGGGCCGCAUGAGCUACCCGAGCACUGCUGGAGGGCCACAUCGACAAUAUUUCAAUUAAAUUUUGCUCAAUAUUAUUUUUGAUAUAUACCGUAAGAUAAAUAAUAAUAAUAAUAGUAAUACUUCAACAUAGUGUGUGUAACAGCCUUCCAUGACUAAUAUAAAUAAAUUAACAUUAAUAAUAAAUGACAGUAAAAUAAGCACACGUAUGACUGAGGAGUCAUAGUGUAACUUUGUGUGGUGUUUGAGUUGUCCGACUUUUUGUGUGGCCUUAAACGCACCAGUGGUUUAGUGCUAUGCGUGUUGGUGACAGAUGACAAGUUGGUUUUGGCCUGGUUUGUACGGCAGAAAAUGACGAGUUUUUCGAGAUAGAAUUGUUUUACUCAUGUUUUUGGUGUGGUUAUGUCCGAAUAUAAACAGUUUUGUUCAAUAAAGUGAUCGAUAUAAUUCCUGACCUCGAAGCAUCUCGAUAGACUUUACAAUAAUUGAACGGUGUUGACGAACACCAUUAGGGCCGCUUGUUGUCACUGUCACUCAAAAGUUGCAUUGCAAAAUUCCAUAGAAUAAAUAUGUUUAUUUUGUUUAGAAUUCAGAUGGGAUUUGAUUUGGUGCGCGGCAUAUACUUGCUGCGCGCAGCGGACGCUUGAGCAGUGCGCAAUUGCGCAGGCACGCACCUUAGGUGAGGGGACGUUGCUUUGCAGUUCAUGUGUUGUUGAAAACACUGCAUUCCUCAUCAACUUUUCUCUUUUUGGCGUCUCGGGUGUAAACCGUGCAUCACUUGUCGCUGCAUGUGCACCUUCACUCGCAGGUUACACACGGACACACGCCCAUAAAUAAUACUUUUCAAAAUAAAAGCAGCACAGUUGUAUUGCGCGCAGGACAUAGAUGUUUUUUCAACUUUAUUUUGUAAUUGCAGUUGUUCACAUUCACUCACAAUCACGCAUACGUCCACACGGAAGUAAUACAAAUAACGAUUUUCAGAACAAAAGCAGCACCGUUGUAUUGCACACUCGACAUAGAUACUUUUUAAAAUUUAUUUUGUAAUUUAUAAUUGGCCUCACGCGGGCCGGACAGGGACGCACAAAGGGCCGGAUGCGGCCCGCGGGCCGCAGAAUGCCCAGGUCUGGCAUAGUGUCACAUUUGGAAUGGGGAGGGGUAGGUUGGUGUCAAGCAGUCCUAACUUCAUGAUAGACCAACCAGUUUUUAACCCGCUACUGACCCCCAUCUCUAGCUCUACGCCAGUUACUCAAGCAGUGCGUGAACCCACACAAGUCAUAUCUGUUGAUGCUUUUGGAGAGAUGAUCACAACUUUAGCUAAACAGAUAGGAGACAACAUCUCUGCCAACAUCAGCAUGAUGCACCAGCCAAGUGCAUUUCAGCCUCAGUCCACCGCUGUGAGCCCUUCCUCCAGGCAUGAUGGUUCGCCACAAGUGAAAGUUGUUGUGCAGCCUGACGUCAAAGCACCACCUUACUUUAGGGGCGAUAAUGCUGAUGUGUUCUCAAUUCAUGAAUGGGUAGAUAUGAUGAAAUGUUACCUAGAGUAAAAUGUGACAGUCCUCCUGAAAUGUUUGAGCUAAUUAUGUCCAGACUAACAGGCAAAGCGAGGGAUGUUGUAAAGGUGUCGCUGCGCAGCCGCCCUGAACUGAAUACAGCUGACCUGCCCACUGCAGUUUGACAUUUUGAAAGGUAACUUCAGUGAGCUAUCAUAUUCUAACGUGCCUAUGAAAGACUUUUACUGCACUAUUCCCCAUUCUGUUGAGAGUGCUAUGGACUACUGGAUCCAUCUUAACAAGUCCAUUGAUGCUGCUGAUGUGUCUCCAUAGGCGGGGCAAAUCUGUUAAGGACCCCAGUGCUGAAGUUGUCAUGAUGUUUAAUAACCACUGUCCUGACCCUCAUCUUGCCUUGUUGUUUCAACUAAAGACGCCUGAGCAGUGGACUGCAGCUGAGGUUCAGGAGCGUCUGGAUGCUCACAUAAGAAAGGUUAGAACGACAGCAGCCCAGUCUCAAUGUGUGAUGGGCUUGUCAGCUUACAAUCAAAGCCCAGUGACUGAUUAUUCUUCGCCGCAGGCCGUCUCGGUAACACGCCAACAGUCGUUGCUUUCUGUUCCUCAACCUUCCCCUGGCCUUUCCUGCAGUCAGCCUCCUUCUGAUGCACUUGUGGCUGUCGCACAUCAGUCCACCUCCCCAUUCCACCCAUCUUCUGCUGUCAAUGUGGCACCGGCCGCUUUUGACCCACCAGCUAACGACCCUGGUGCUCAAGUUGUGGCCAUGUUUGAUAAGGUUCUGUCCUUGUGCAAUGCAUCUUUGGCUAACAAUCAAAGACCAGGAGGCCAAAGGUCAGGCACCCGUCAGACUGUUCAACCCAGAAACCAUCAAAGUUCUGUGGCAGUCACGUGUCGAGUAUGUACUUCCAGUGAACAUUCAACUCAUGCACACUGUAAACUCUACAGAUUGUGCCUCAACUGUUUGAGACCUGGUCACAUGAAGCGUGAGUGCCCACAGGCCUCACAUUCCCCGGCUAUACCGCCAUCUUUUCCACCCAAUGCUGAUUUAAACUAACCCGCCUGUGUAGUGAGAGGGGUAGCAUGGGCGAAGCUAGUAGCACCCUCAGUGAAAAUGAAGAUGUGCAAUUGACCUAUGUGAACUGUUGUAGUAGCCUUUCUGAAGACAAAACAGUGAUUGUUGUGGGUUCCCAUAGAGUGGAAGGAGCUAGUGAGUUGUUUUAUGCUCCAGUGUCUGUGGGGGGCCAGUCUGUUUUAAGAGGGAUGCUUGAUUCAGGUAGCAUGUCAUGCACGCUAAAUGUGGAGGCGGAGUCAAAGCUUAGAGCUGUUGGGCUACUCCCUAGUCCUCGGCCUGUGCCGGAGAAGGUGGUCCUUGUUGGCUGUGGUGGCCUUAUGACACAACCCAGGUGCAUUUAUGACCUUGAAAUUGAAGUUUAUGGGUCUAAGUUAAUUGUGCCAACUCUACUUGUUCCAGGGCAGAAAGAUGAGAUGAUCAUUGGGACCAAUGUCAUAAGACCCAUUAUACAGACAAUGAAGUCUGAUAAUAAGUACUGGCAGCUGGUCUGCUCCAAUACUUCUGACCCCAAUUGUGAACAGUUUCUUGGACUACUCAGCUGCAUUACAUGCUGGUCUGGUCCGGAAAUGCCUGAAAAAGUUGGUACAGUCAAGCUAAGACAAUCUGUCACUCUUGCACCUCAGGGAGAGUCUCUAGUAUGUGGGAAGCUGCCCAACAGUGCUCCUGUGUCACCUGGGAGUACUGUCAUUGUGGAGCCCACCUCUUCCCGUUCUACCCCUAGAGACAUCAUUGUUGGCCGGGUCGUGACACCCAUGUGGGGUAAUCGUUGGGUCCCAAUGAAGAUCCUGAACCCAACAAAGAGACUUGUGACACUGCGCCGUAACGCUAAGGUAGCAGAUGUUUUUCCUUGUAUUGCAAUGGAAGACCUUCCUUUGUCACAGAGUGUGUGUAUGCAGCAGACCUGUGAGGGAAGUGACCCAGCCUCCAAGUCAGGUACCGCCUCUAAUCCCCUUCAGCAGCUUAAAGAUUGUGGCUUGGCGGAUGUUGAUCUUGAAGGCUGUGAAGUAUCAGAGGAAUGGAAACAGCGACUUGCUGAACUGGUCCUCACCUACGAAGAUGUAUUUUCUAAAGACAAGCUGGACUGUGGCGAGGCAAAGGAUUUUGUCCACCGAAUCCACCUCACUGAUGAUCGCCCUUUUAGACUCCCCUAUCGCCGUGUCCCUCCAGCUCACUAUCAUAAGCUGAGAGAGGUGCUGUCUGAGAUGGAGUUUAAAGGAAUCAUCAGCAAGUUAGUCAGUGAGUAUGCCUCACCCCUUGUUCUAGUCUGGAAGAAGUCAGGGGAGUUGAGGAUCUGCACGGACUUCCGCUGGCUUAACGCCAAGACCGUGAAGGAUGCACACCCGCUACCCCACCAGGCUGACUGUCUUGCCGCCCUUGGUGGAAAUGCCUUUUUCAGUACCAUGGAUCUCACAUCGGGGUUUUACAACGUCCCCCUCCAUGAGUCUGACAGGCGGUAUACGGCCUUCACAACACCCUUAGGCCUAUACGAGUACAACAGACUUCCCCAGGGCUUGUGCAACAGCCCCGCAUCCUUUAUGCGGAUGAUGAUCAGCAUCUUUGGGGUCUUGAACUUCUCCAGCCUCCUCUGCUAUUUGGAUGGCCUGCUCGUGUUUGCUCCAUCCGAAGAAGAAGCCCUGAAGCGGCUGGAGAGUGUCUUCCUGCGUCUCAGAGCCAACAACCUGAAACUGGCGCAGAGGAAGUGCUACUUCUUGCGUAGGACCGUGAAGUUUCUGGGUCAUGUAGUGAACAGCGGUGGUGUUGCAGUCGACCAGGAGAAAGUCAAAGUCAUCUCCGCUUUUGAAAAAAAAGAUCUUAUGGAGGAGAUGACGGCUGCACCCCAUCACAGUGGAAAGUCAAGUCCUUCCUGGGCAUGGUGCUGUACUACCAGCAUUUCAUCCCUGGCUGUUCUUCUUUUGCAAAGCCACUUUACACAUUGACUGCAGGACAGAAGAGGAGUGCCAAGAGCUCCUUUGGGCGGAGAAGAGCAGGCACCUUCAGAAAACUGACUCCUCAGGACUGGACUUCUGCUUGUGAGAAGGCGUUUGAGGAUCUGAAGAGUGCACUUCUUAAUAGUGUGGUGCUGGCACACCCAGACUUUGAAAGGCCCUUCAUCCUCUGCACCGAUGCAUCCCUUGAUGGUCUGGGUGCGGUCCUGUCCCAGGUCCCUGAUGGCGAAGAACGAGCGAGACCCAUUGCUUUUGCAAGCAAAACUCUCAGCCGCAGCCAAGUCAACUACCCUGCUCACAGACUGGAGUUCUUAGCCCUUAAAUGGGCAGUUUUUGAUAAAUUCAGCCACUGGCUCAAGGGUCACAUGUUUACUGUCUGGUCGGAUAACAACCCCCUCACUCACAUCCUGACUAAGCCAAAACUAGAUGCCUGUGAGCAGCGGUGGGUCUCCAAGUUGGCUCCAUAUAAUUUUGAGAUUAAGCACAUCCCUGGCAGGCAGAAUGUGGUGGCAGAUGCACUCAGUAGAGACCCAUUUGUGACUCCUUUGAGGGAGCGGCUGCUGGGUGAGCCCUAUGCUAAGCUGCUGAAUCGGGUCUGUGAUGUCAGUGAUGGAUGUGUGCAGGAUGCGUUCCGCUUCACUUGCCAGCCACCAUCACUGAGGUGUCAUCCUCACAUUGACACCAUUGAAAGUUCAAUGUCUGAAGAAGAUGUCUCUUCAAUCCGUUCUUCUUUGGAUGAAUGGGACAGUGCUCCUCGCCAGCGUGCUACCUCACUAGCUGACCACCUCACAACAUUGGAACCUCCUGGCCAAGACACUUUGCCUUCCCUAUCACUUGCUGACCUUCAGUCUCACCAACAAAGAGACCCAGUCAUCUUAAGAGCUACUUAUUAUGUUGACAGAAAACGCAGGCCCUCCAGACGCGAACGUUGUAAUGAAAAUCAGCUAACUCUGAGAGUAUUGAAACAGUGGGAUAGGCUGAUGCUUCUGGAUGGCAUCCUCUAUAGCAGGGGUGUCAAAAUCAUUUUAGCUCAGGGGCCGCACGGAGGAAAAUCUGUGCACACGCGGGCCGGACUAUUACAACCAUAGCAUUAAAACAAAAAAAAAACUUCAGAUUGUUUUCUUUGUCUUACUUUGGCCAAAAAUAGAACAAACACAUUCUGAAAAUAUUACAAUAAAAUAUGGAAAAAAAUACAAGCAGCGGUAAAGUUUAGAUCAGGGGUAUCAAACUAAUUUUAGAUCGGGGGCCACAUGGAGGAAAAUCUAUGCCCAAGUGGGCCAGACUGGUAAAAUCAUGGCACAAUAACUUAAAAAUAAAGAAAACUUCAGAUUGUUUUCUUUGUUUAAAAAUAGAGUCACAAAGGACCCUUUGACCAAGAAGAAGAGGUACCAGUUUGUUGUGCCAGAGUCCUUGAAGGCAGACGCACUGUCUGGCGUUCAUGACCAAGCUGGUCAUCAAGGUCAGCCCCGCACUCUUGCUUUAGCUCGCCACCGUUUUUUCUGGUAUGACAUGGAGAAGGAUGUCCGCAGUUACGUGAAACAGUGCCGCAGGUGUGUCCUUAGCAAGACCCCCCGAGCCUUCAACAAGGGCCUCGCUACAAAGCAUCAAGACCUCUGCUCCCCUAGAGCUUGUGUGUGUUGACUUUUGGACAGCUGAAGACAGCCACAACAAAUCUGUGGAUGAUCUUGUAGUCACUGAUCACUUUACGAAAUUGGCACAUGCUUUUCCUUGUCAGGACCAGACUGCAAAGAGGGUUGCUAGGAAAUUAUGGGACAGCUUCUUCUGCAUUUACGGCUUCCCCCAGCGCCUUCAUUCAGACCAGGGUGCAAAUUUUGAAAGUGAACUGAUUGCUGAACUCUUGAUGUUGUCAGGAGUUGACAAGUCUCACACUUCCCCCUACCAUCCUAUGGGAAACGGUGGGACGAAGCGGUUUAACCGCACCUUAGGCAACAUGUUGAGAUCAUUGCCCCCUCGCUCCAAGCAGAAAUGGCCCCAAAUGAUCCAGACAAUGACUUUUGUGUAUAAUUGCACUGUGCAUGAGACGACUGGGUUUGCGCCUUUUUAUUUGAUGUUUGGGAGAACCCCGAGAUUGCCGGUAGAUCUCCUCUUUAAGAAUGUGUUUCGGGAUGAGACUGUGUGUGACUAUAACAUAUAUGUAAAGUCCCUUUUAGAGGACCUGCAUUGUGCUAUGACACUUGCCCAGAAGAACUGCUCUGCUGAGCAGAAGCAUCAGAGCAACCAGUACAACAGAAGGGUCAAAGGUCAGCCUCUUUCACUUGGCGACCAGGUGCUGUUGGCAAACAAAGGUGUCAAAGGGAAGCGUAAACUUUCUGACAAGUGGUUGCCUGUUAUACACACUGUGGUGGCCUCAAAACCCGACCUGCACAUCUACCGGAUCAAGGAUCCAGAGGGGAAUGAACCGUAACCUGUUGCUCCAGGUUAACUUCCUGCCGUUAGACGGAGCUUUGGAUGAUGAUGCUGGACCAGUGGUCAUGCCUGCCACAGCAGUAUUUAAUGGGUGUGAGUCAGAGGUGUCAGAUACGGCAGCUGCAACUGUUGAGACAUCCCAUGCUGGUUCCCUCUUGAGUGCUGAUGCUUGUGAUGAUGGCCGUACUGCCUCUUGGGUCCAUGAGCAGUCUUCCUUUGAUGAGCCUCAGUGUUCAGAGUCCGCUGAAGUAGUCUCCCCUACAGACAGUGGCCAUAUUGCUGCUCUGGAUCCCCGAUAGCUCUACCUGCUCCCUCACUGCAAUUAGUCCCAGUUGGUCCACCUCAAACAUCUGGUGCUGAGAACCAAUUUGCCUCACGGUUAGGCAGAGUCAUUAAACCUGUUUACCGUUUAAUAGAGUCCAUGGUUCAACUUGAGUCCAUAUUAGGGGUCGAGCCAGGCUCCCAUACUGUUAUUAAUGUGUGAGAUAUGACCAGAAAGCUGUUUUAUGCUGCUCUUUGUGUGGACUCAAUGUUCUGAAAAACUAAUGUUUCCCUACUCACCCACAAUGUUUGGCCUGUGUAUGCGUGGUGUAUAAGGCACCUCACCUUGUCUAUAGAGUACUAUGAGUUCUUGCUAGGCGCCAAGCAAGUCUUGUUCUCUUAUCCUUUAAAUAGGAAGCGUAUAUUGCUGUUUAAUGCAAAUUUGUGAUUUUCAUGUCCAUUGUGUUUACACAUGCGUACUGUUCUUGCAAACCAGACUUUUGUGUAAUUCUUGGGGGGUGAGUGUAACAGGGUCAAUUAUGUCUUGUAAAUAAUGUAUUUUAUAAUGCUUUAUUAUUGUUAUAAUCACACAAAAUGUGUAAGUUACAUGUAAAUACCUGGAUAUUGUUCAAUGUUUUGUCAAUGUGGAACCAUUGUCUCGUUGUCCCUCCUACUACAAUAAUUACUGUGACACCUGUCUUUUUAUAUGCGUUGGACACGCCUUCCAACUUCCCUUUUGUCCACGAUAACGGGAGAGGGACUUGACGAUGGAAACAAAGUUAUUGACGACAAUUGUAUGUUCUGUAUUGUCAGGUAUGUUUAUUUCACUGUUGUACUGCCCUUUUGUCCACGAUAACAGGAGAGGGACUUGACGAUGGAAACAAAGUUAUUGACGACAAUUGUAUGUUCUGUAUUGUCAGUAAAGUGCAGCUGAGCAAUC